rnacentral:rRNA from 1 species
AUAAGAGGUCCCACCUGCCCUGUGACUCUAAGUUUAACGGCCGCGGUAUUCUAACCGUGCGAAGGUAGCGCAAUCAAUUGCCUUUUAAAUGAAGGCCUGUAUGAAUGGUAUAACGAGGGUCUAGCUGUCUCUUUUUUCUAGUCAGUUAAACUGAUCUGUCCGUGCAGAAGCGGACAUAAAUAUACAAGACGAGAAGACCCUAUGGAGCUUUAGACACUAGCCAACUGUGAAUAAGCGACUGAACUGAGCAAGUCCUAAAUACCCGCAGCCUAAUGGUAAUGUAGUCUUAGGUUGGGGCGACCACGGGAGAAAGUAAAGCUCCCAAGCAGACCGGGAAAACCCUUAAGCCGAGAGUUGCAACUCUAAGCCGCAAAAUUUUUGACUGAAAUGAUCCGGUUGAAAAACCGAUUAACGAACCAAGUUACCCUAGGGAUAACAGCGCAAUCCUCUCCCAGAGUCCCUAUCGACGAGGGGGUUUACGACCUCGAUGUUGGAUCAGGACAUCCUAAUGGUGCAGCCGCUAUUAAGGGUUCGUUUGUUCAACGAUUAAAGUCCUACGUGAUCUGAGU